GACGAACGCUGGCGGCGUGCUUAACACAUGCAAGUCGAACGGAAAGGCCUCUUUCGGGGGGUACUCGAGUGGCGAACGGGUGAGUAACACGUGAGUAACCUGCCCUUGACUUUGGGAUAACUUCAGGAAACUGGGGCUAAUACCGGAUAGGAGCUCCUGCUGCAUGGUGGGGGUUGGAAAGUUUCGGCGGUUGGGGAUGGACUCGCGGCUUAUCAGCUUGUUGGUGGGGUAGUGGCUUACCAAGGCUUUGACGGGUAGCCGGCCUGAGAGGGUGACCGGCCACAGUGGGACUGAGAUACGGCCCAGACUCCUACGGGAGGCAGCAGUGGGGAAUAUUGCACAAUGGGUGGAAGCCGGAUGCAGCAACGCCGGGGGCGGGAUGACGGCCUUCGGGUUGUAAACCGCUUUCGCUCAUGACGAAGCUUUGUGUGACGGUAGUGGGUAAAGAAGCACCGGCUAACUACGUG
rnacentral:rRNA from 1 species